UUAUCACCUGGGCUACCACGUGCUACAAUGGGAAGUACAACGAGUCGCGAAGUCGCGAGGCUAAGCUAAUCUCUUACAGCUUCUCUCAGUUAGGAUUGUAGGCUGCAACUCGCCUACAUGAAGCCGGAAUCGCUAGUAAUCGCGGAUCAGCACGCCGCGGUGAAUACGUUCCCGGGCCUUGUACACACCGCCCGUCACACCACGAGAGUUUGUAACACCCGAAGUCGGUGAGGUAACCUUUUUGGAGCCAGCCGCCUAAGGUGGGAUAGAUGAUUGGGGUGAAGUCGUAACAAGGUAGCCGUAUCGGAAGGUGCGGUUGGAUCACCUCCU
rnacentral:rRNA from 1 species